GACAGAGGUGCCGAGCGUUAGGCGGAAUCACUGGGCUUAAAGCGUGUGUAGGCGGGUCGUUAAGUGCCUUGUGAAAUCCCACGGCUCAACCGUGGAACUGCUGGGCAUACUGCCGAUCUUGAGCCAGCUAGGGGCAACCGGAACAAACGGUGUAGAGGUGAAAUUCGUAGAUAUCGGGAGAAACACCGGUGGCGAAGGCGGCGACCUGGGUGGAUACUGACGCUGAGGUGCGAAAGCGUGGGGAGCAAAUAGG
rnacentral:rRNA from 1 species